UGAAUACUCCCUUCGUCCGAAAAUACUUGUCAUAGAAAUAGAUGUAUCUAGACUUAUUUUAGUUAUAGAUACAUUCAUUUUGUACAUUUCUAGGACAAGUAUUUCCGGACGGAGGGAGUAGUAA
rnacentral:pre_miRNA from 1 species